UACGUAGGGUGCGAGCGUUGUCCGGAAUUACUGGGCGUAAAGAGCUCGUAGAUGGUUUGUCGCGUUGUCCGUGAAAACUCACAACUCAAUUGUGGGCGUGCGGGCGAUACGGGCAGACUGGAGUACUGCAGGGGGAGACUGGAAUUCCUGGUGUAGCGGUGGAAUGCGCAGAUAUCAGGAGGAACACCGGUGGCGAAGGCGGGGUCUCUGGGCAGUAACUGACGCUGAGGAGCGAAAAGCGUGGGGGAGCGAACAGG
rnacentral:rRNA from 1 species